UCAUGGGCGAGAGCCUGAACCAGCCNAGUAGCGUGAAGGAUGAAGGCUCUAUGGGUCGUAAACUUCUUUUAUAUGGGAAUAAAGUAUUCCACGUGUGGAAUUUUGUAUGUACCAUAUGAAUAAGGAUCGGCUAACUCCGUGCCAGCAGCCGCGGUAAUACGGAGGAUCCGAGCGUUAUCCGGAUUUAUUGGGUUUAAAGGGAGCGUAGGUGGAUUGUUAAGUCAGUUGUGAAAGUUUGCGGCUCAACCGUAAAAUUGCAGUUGAAACUGGCAGUCUUGAGUACAGUAGAGGUGGGCGGAAUUCGUGGUGUAGCGGUGAAAUGCUUAGAUAUCACGAAGAACUCCGAUUGCGAAGGCAGCUCACUAGACUGUUACUGACACUGAUGCUCGAAAGUGUGGGUAUCAAACAGGAUUAGAUACCCUGGUAGUCCAAGGGCGAAUUC
rnacentral:rRNA from 1 species